rfam:Felis catus isolate Cinnamon breed Abyssinian chromosome B2, whole genome shotgun sequence.
GCCUGGGUGGCUCAGUCGGUUAAGUGUCUGACUUCAGCUCAGGUCACGAGCUCACAGUUCGUGAGUUCGAGCCCCGCGUCAGGCU